GGCAGCAGCUAAGAAUAUUCCGCAAUGGACGAAAGUCUGACGGAGCGACGCCGCGUGGAUGAUGAAGGCCGGAAGGUUGUAAAAUCCUUUUAUGACUGAGGAAUAAGUGAAGUGAGAGAAACGCUUCGUGGUGACUGUAGGUCAUGAAUAAGCAACGGCUAAUUACGUGCCAGCAGCCGCGGUAACACGUAAGUUGCGAGCGUUGUUCGGAAUUAUUGGGCGUAAAGGGUAUGUAGGCGGUUCUGCAAGUCUGGUGUGAAAUGCCGGGGCUCAACCCCGGAACUGCGUUGGAAACUGCAGGACUUGAAUCGCUGAGGGGCAGCCAGAAUUCCAGGUGUAGGGGUGAAAUCUGUAGAUAUCUGGAAGAAUACCAAUGGCGAAGGCAGGCUGCCAGCAGAUGAUUGACGCUGAGGUACGAAGGUGCGGGGAGCAAACAGGAUUAGAUACCCUGGUAGUCCGCACAGUCAACUAUGUACACUGGGUGUCCGUGCAUGAGCAUGGGUGCCGAAGCAAACGCGAUAAGUGUACCGCCUGGGGAGUAUGCCCGCAAGGGUGAAACUCAAAGGAAUUGACGG
rnacentral:rRNA from 1 species